ensembl:lncRNA
CUGAAAGCCGAAGCUGACCUGGACUCCUACCCUCCCCUCUACCAUCGUUGCCCUCUCCACUACCAUCUUUGACCCUUUGACCCCUGAAGGCCACAGCAGCUGGACUCACAACAACAACUUGAAGAUGUCAACAGUGCUGCAGAAAGCAAUCUCAUGCAGCGGAGAAUGCUAAAGCUUCAGCUGACAGAGCUGUGACGAGACGCGCAUUAAGCCCGGAGGAAAAGGGAGGGUGAGCAAAAGAAUGCUGACCUCUGAGAAGAGCCGAACAGCAGAGCUGCAGAAGGCCGUGGACCAAAGUAAGGACAACAUCAAUAGACUCCAAUCUGACGUGGAAGGAAAAGACUCUGAGGUUUUUGCCCUCAGUAAGAGCUCAAGGCAUCAGAACAGAAAUUGAGCAUGGCUCCGGAGGAGCUGGCUGCUAAUUGAACUCAUCAGUCAGACUUGGAGUUUCACGUACAGGACUUGAAAUCAGGCGGAAGCUUGCUAGAGCAGGAGGUCGCCAGACCUGACGCAAAGCUCCAACAGCAGGAGCAAGCCCUGAAGGAGCUACAGAAGCAAAAGGGUCAAGUUACAAGGAGAAGAUGCAGGCAGCUGCAACAACGGAUGCAAACAGACCCAAAGAGGAGGGCAGGACCCCAGGGCAGGCUUCAGGCCGCUGGUUUACCUAAACAACAGAACAGGAAGGUGAUGAACACAAACAUACACCAACACACAAACACACACUUCUGCAUGCGCCAACUUAGAAUGAAGAGAAACACACACAUGAACACUUAUGCACUCGUUGAGUGAGUGAAAACUGAUACACACCCAUGCACCAAAAUCAAAAUGUUGAUUAAAUUCACUAAGAAGUGACACACAAUGCUCCAGCUGCUGCAAUGAAGAAUGCUUUACUGACAAAGGCUUAAUGCUGCACACAACAAAUUCAAAUACAGAAUCUGCUACAAUAAUAAGCCCAGAGGGCAUUUGUGUGGUCUGGGGAGCAGACUCAGGAGCGGUUUGGGUAUGAAAACGAUGCCUGUGUGAGAUAUCUGGGG